AGCCACGGCUAAUCGGGUGCCAGCAGGCGCGGUAAUACGGGAGUGGCAAGCGUUAUCCGGAAUUAUUGGGCGUAAAGCGUCCGCAGGCGGCCCAACAAGUCUGCUGUUAAAAAGUGGAGCUUAACUCCAUCAUGGCAGUGGAAACUGUUGGGCUAGAGUGUGGUAGGGGCAGAGGGAAUUCCCGGUGUAGCGGUGAAAUGCGUAGAUAUCGGGAAGAACACCAGUGGCGAAGGCGCUCUGCUGGGCCAUCACUGACGCUCAUGGACGAAAGCCAGGGGAGCGAAAGGGAUUAGAUACCCCUGUAGUCCUGGCCGUAAACGAUGAACACUAGGUGUCGGGGGAAUCGACCCCUCCGGUGUCGUAGCCAACGCGUUAACUGUU
rnacentral:rRNA from 1 species